UUUAUUAGCUUUAUUUUGUGGUCUACGUUUGACAUUCUUUCACAAGAAGAACUUUUUUUUUUUUUUGUAAACGAUAGAGAAUAGAAUAAUAAUUAACAUUUGGUGGUCGUGUGCUCUCUACUUCAAAGUUCAAACAAGCUGUCUUGGGUCGUGGUGCAUGUGCCUCGCGCUGAGUCACUCAUCGUAAUCUUAAAACCCUGAGGAUGCAAAAUCUAAUGGUACACGUAAAUCACAACUUCUCUUACAAUUUAUAAG
rnacentral:lncRNA from 1 species